rnacentral:misc_RNA from 1 species
GAUGAAGAACGCAGUGAAAUGCGAUAAGUAAUGUGAAUUGCAGAAUUCAGUGAAUCAUCGAAUCUUUGAACGCACAUUGCGCCCGCCAGUAUUCUGGCGGGCAUGCCUGUCUGAGCGUCAUUUCAACCCUCAUGCCCCUAGGGCGUGGUGUUGGGGAUCGGCCAAAGCCCGCGAGGGACGGCCGGCCCCUAAAUCUAGUGGCGGACCCGUCGUGGCCUCCUCUGCGAAGUAGUGAUAUUCCGCAUCGGAGAGCGAUGAGCCCCUGCCGUUAAACCCCCAACUUUCCAAGGUUGACCUCAGAUCAGGUAGGAAUACCCGCUGAACUUAAGCAUAUCAAUAAGCGGAGGAA